GCGGCGUCUGGGCUCGGCGGUUUCCCCUAGCAACCGAAGAGGCUUUCAGUCCUGCGCAUGCGCAUACGGUGACUUCCUCGCCUCCCGGGACCGGUUUGUGUGUGGAGUGGGAAGUAACCUGAAUGCACUUGAAGUUGUAACGUGGAUCAAGGCGAUAAUGAGGGGCAUUGAAGAGAAUGCACAGGAAUACCCAAGGGGUGCUGAUAUUUGAAUCUAUGGAGAGCAGUAUUCACACAAUCAGACCAUUCAUUAAAAGUUUAACUCAAUUCGCAGUCCAACAUGGAGGAAGAAAUUCCUGGCAUUGGCUUUGGAGAGGUUAGCAUCAACAACUGGAAUUCUGUGAUGCGGCUCCCAGAUUCAGUGAGUGAAUGCAGAUUCGGAUGUCUUCACAAUGAGACCACGUGGCGAUAUGCGAUUUAACUCUGGGCAAGGAUUCCAUUCACUAAUAUUACUGAACUCCACUACAUUGCUUUCCAAUUCAACAUGAGUGAGGUUACCAUCAGUCCAAUGCAGACUGUAAGGAGGCCUUCAACACAGACAGACAGUGGGGUUAUCUCAGAUUCAUCUGAUAAGUUUGAUCCAUGCUUAAUGUGCCCUGAGGAGCUUGAGAAGGGAAGGGCUGGAUGUGGAUCUGAAGUGGAACAGGCUCAUAACUCUAGUACUACCUAUAAUGGAGAUAACUGUGAUCAACAAGAAACAGAAGCAGAAUCUGCCAAGAGGAGAAGCAACAAUACAGGACUAGGUAGCUUACCCACCCAGAGGCUUUUAAUACUCUGCAAUAAAGUUAACUGUUGCUCUGAUAUUGCAGGUGCAUCAUGGCCACAUGUAACUGUGGUGAAUUAUGUAUAUGAGUCCUCCACACUGGAUUCAAUUUCUGCGCAGGUGGCUGAAGCUUUGAACGGAAAGCAAGUCAAAUCAGUUGCCUUUAUUCUCCAUAUUCAGCAAGAGGCAAUAUUUAUAUGUGGGUCUGGAGAGGUCCAGACACUCACACCAAUUACUAUCCAUGAGAACAAAGCUGUGCAGAGUUUCUUUAAAAAUAUUGUGUCCCGCCACAUUGACGUGGAAGAUGCAGAAAGCAGAAUGGACUUCCUGGGCUGUACUUCCCUGCUGACUACAGACUUGGAAGAACUCAGGAAAAAAUUGGAGAUUCUGACAGGAGUUUCUGUUGGCAUGGCAAGAAGCCUACUGGACAACAAGCUGGUGACAGGUCCAAACCAGAUGCCAGAAAGUAUAAAGAAGCACAUCCUGGAUCUCUACUGUGAAAGUGAUAAGCUGAAACGCCCACAUCCCCAGACACUGGCAGAGUUUGAAAAGAUACACAUAGUGGGAAAAGGAGCCUAUGGGACAGCAGUUCUGUAUCGGAAGAAGGACGAUGACUCACUGGUCAUUCUCAAAGAGAUCAAUAUGCAUGAGCUGAACCACAUUGAAAGGCAGAGAGCAUUGAAUGAGGUAAAGGUACUUUCCAUGCUGGACCACCCCAAUAUCAUCAAUUACUAUGACAGCUUUGAAGAGGAUGGUGUACUGAUGAUUGAAAUGGAAUAUGCAGAGGGAGGAACAUUGGCACAGUAUUUGGCACAGCAGGAUCGAGAGUUGGAAGAAUUGGAAAUCCUGAACCUCUUCCAGCAAAUGGUGGCUGCAACCUGUUACCUACAUGAACACAAUGUGUUACACCGAGAUCUAAAGACGGCCAACCUUUUCCUCACCAAAGAAGGCGAAGUGAAGCUUGGUGAUUUUGGGGUGGCCAAAUUGAUGAUGACAGGAAGUGAGGCACAUACCAUCUUGGGCACUCCUCAUUACCUCUCACCCGAGAUCUGCGAGGGAAAGUGCUACAAUGAGAAGUCUGACAUCUGGUCGCUUGGUUGCAUCCUUUAUGAGAUGGCAUGCCGUCAGCGCACUUUUGAAGGAACUAAUCUACCAGCAGUGGUAAAUAAGAUCAUGAAAGGACAGUUUGCUCCCAUCACCAAUAACUAUAGUGCUGCAUUUAAAGGCCUUGUGACGGACAUGCUGCAAAAGGAACCUCGGUACCGGCCAUCUGCUCGUGAUCUGCUGUAUGUUCGUCUCCCUGAAAUGAUGGCCAAGUAUGAAGAAACUCCGGUUCAGGAGAAAGGGCCAGGAACUGGCCUUCAAUGUGGCCUGGGUCACAAGAAAAAUGGACGCACAGCUCUUUAUUACUUCUCAAUGUCUGACAUGAAGCUCUGCCCUAUGGAUGGACUGCCUGCCAAGAUUAAAAUUAGGCAGGUCGCUAUAUCUGACACUCACAUGAUAGCAGUCGCUGCAGAGAGAGCUGUGUACACAUGGGGAAGCAAUCUGAAAGGCCAGCUUGGUCAUGGAGACCAGCAAUCACGUUCACGACCCCAGCUGGUGGAAGCCCUCAAAGGAAAGUUUAUUGCCAGGGCCUGUGGUGGACAUGGAUUCAGUGUGUUUACCAGUGACAAUGGAAUUGUAAUGACUUCUGGAGAUGGAGCCCAAGGCUGCCUGGGGCAUGGGGACUUUUUCAGCACCUCCAGGCCUUGUUUGAUUGAGGCCCUGCUCGGUGUAAAUGUCCAAGCCAUUGCCUGUGGUCAGCAGCAUGUGGUGUGUGUCAGCGGUGAUGGCGAGGUAUUUUCAUGGGGCAAUGGAAAAUUUGGCAAACUAGGUCUUGGGAACGAUGACAAUAGUUGCUUGCCAAUGAAAGUAACUUUUGAGGAGCAGAUCUUUAUAAAAGAUGUAAAAUGUGGCUUAGAUGGAACCAUGUUCUUAACAGAUACUGGUAGCCUGCUGGCUUGUGGUAACAACCAAUACAAUAAACUUGGCUUGAAUGAAAGACGAGGCCUUCUCAUGCAGAUGACAAUGCUGUUUGCAAGAACUGACGUUGAAAGCAGAAAAGUUCCCACAGUAGUGAAGGCAUUGAGAAACCAGCAUGUGAGGGAUGCUGUGCUGGGUUCCUCACACACGAUUGUACUGGUAGAACCUGGUAAUGUAUAUACCUUUGGGAAGAACACAGAAGGACAGCUUGGAACAGGCAACACCAAACCCUAUAAAAUGCCAGUGCAUGUAAAACAAUUGCAGCAUCAAACCAUAACUGUUAUCAGCUGCGGGGAGACAUUCAGCGUUGCCGGGACAGAUAAUAAUAUUAUCCUCUUCUGGGGCACCUGGUCCAAGUUGAUGCUCUCUUCAAGUCCAUCAGCUACAGUCAGAGUCUGUCAGGCAGGUACUUCGGCCACACCAGUGUCACCUUCGCCAGUGGAAACCCAGGACUCCGAUUCUGGAACAGCGAGUCGCGGAGACGGCGGGAAAAACAGUUACGAUGGAAAGCAGCUCGGUGGAAUCAAGAGCAGAUCUCCUGAUGGAGACAAGUUAGAUGCACCAGAAUCAUCAUCAUUAUCACAGAGGAACACUAAUUGGUCCAAAGCUGGUUCACUGGAACAACAUGAAUCAUACGUAGGCAUGACAUCAGAUCAUACAGAAACCAGCCCUGAGAGCAUCAAGUCCGAAUGUAAGGAUCUGAAAGAACGAACCAGCUCAAAACCAAGUACCUUUGGGAGUGAGAGCAGCCUUCAGGAAGGAGGAAGUAGCCGAAUGGGCCCUGUUCCUAUUGUGUCUUUGAAACAGAAUCUAGGGGACUGUGUAGAUGUGUGCUCUCCCUGUCUCAGGGGUAUUAUGUGUAAUGGGGAGUUCAUCUACAUCCUCAUGGAAGGCACUGAUCCACCGUGCCAUCGGCCUGCCAGGAGAUUUCGUAGCUUUCGAAAGCGCGGAAACCGUGAGAGCACGGAGUUGAAACAAAGAUGCAUCCUUCAUUAUUCCCAUUCCAGUAACGAAGCCGGAGAUGAGUACACUAGCUCUGAGAUGUCCGAGCUGGAGACCAGUAACUUUGUCCCAACGUGGAUUCGAAAAGAGCUUAAUGAGGCAGCGGCGACCGGGGCAAGGGGAGACGAAAAGCGCAGUGAAGCUGACACUGUCACCUCUUCAACCAAGAGCGGAGUGGACAACUUGAGCCCUGCAGGUGAAAUCAAUAGAGAGGGGGCAAAGCCACCCGCAGAACAGGUGGCUGGAGGUUUGGAAAUGACAAGUGGUAACUAUGAUGGAGCAAAGCACAGCAGCAUCUCCACAUCAGGAAGUUCUGAUGGACAACCAAUCCCCUUCAAUCAGAAGACUGCCAGGAGUAAAGACAAACAUGGAAAACCCGUGCAAGACUUUGCUGUGUCCACAAGUCAAAGGAGACAUUACCAGACUGAGACGGAUAUGGGUGCAAACACGGCUCGGAUCUGCUCCAAACCAGUUACGGCUUGUGAUAGGAACAUCUCUGCUUCUCCCCGGAAAUCAGGAAUGCUGAACACUCCAGGGCCUGGAAAUCAGAAAUCAUUUAACAGGCUACGGAUCAGCAGAGGGCGAGGGAAGAGUAGGGCUGUCUGGCUGAACUCUGAAACUUCAGCUCUGAAGAGUUUCAAGUACUACCAUCAUCCAGCUCAUAUCACAUCACCUCUCUCAAAGAACAAGGGUGGAACUUUCCCUGGAGAAAUGAAGAGAAAACAGACAACCGAAGAGAGAAUCCGGUCUCAGGAAGAACACACCAAUUUGUAUCUCCUGGAGGAACAGCAACGACUAGCACUGAUGCUGCUUGGCCUGCUGAGUUCUUCCAACUGUCUGUCGUGGUCAUCUCUUGUAGUUGGUGCUCGCGAUAUGGCCUCAUCUACAUCGGAGAAGUCUGAAGCAGAUUAGGGGGCUGCACUCUGUCCACUGUAGAAAGCAGGAUCUCCCAGUGGCUUCCCAGUUUUACUUCCCAUUCCCAUACUGACUUGUCUGACCAUGGCCUCCACUACAGUCCUGAUGAGGCCAAACUCAGGUUGCAGAAGCGACAGCAAAUAUUAUAUCUGAUAACCUGAUGGCAUGGGCAUAGGUUUCUCUCAUUUCUAGUAAUCGCUCCCUCCUGUUUCCUUUCCAUCAUCUGUCUUAUUUCCUCUCUCCAUUCUGGUUACCCUCUCACCUCUGCAGCUUAUCAUCAGUAAGUCAAAGGAGAUGAUGAUGGACUUUAGGAAGACUAAGCCUGCACUGCUCCCUUUUACUUUUGAUGGUGAAGACCUACAAACGCCGGGCAGUGCUCCUAAAUGACGGACUUCAGUGGAGCACCAACACAGAGGCUGUGUCAAAGACGGGCCGGAGUCACCUAUACUUCCUGAGGAGACUGAAGUCCUUUGGAGUAUCUGGGCCUCUCCUUCACACGGUCUACCAGUCUGUUGUCGCCAGUACAAUCUUUUAUGCAGUGGUCUGCUGGGGCAAUGGCAUCAACACAGGUGAUGCCAACAGGCUCAAUAAACUGAUUAGAAAGGCUGAUUCUGUUAUAGAAGUCAAACUGAACACACUGGAGGUUGUGAUAGAACAAAGGAGCCUAGGGAAAUUCCUGGCAGUUCUGGACAAUGUUUCUCGCACUCUGCAAGCCACCUUGGCUGAACAGAGGAACACUUUUAGUAAAAGACUAAGACAACUGCAUUGCUCCAAAGAGCACUAUACGAGGUUAUUUUUACCUUCGUCCAUAAGGCUCUAUCGUGAUGACUCCUCCUGUUAGACUGUUUGAGGAGCGGGAAGCCAGACUUCAGACAGAGAUAGACAAGCUGUACAAGGAGCUGAAAGAGCAGAAACAGCUCCUCAAAGAAAACCACGACGUAAUGCAACAACUACAGGAGCAUCUGCUGAAG